rnacentral:piRNA from 1 species
UGUCCAACCAGAGCCAAUAACCCACA